CCUACGGGGGGCAGCAGUGGGGAAUAUUGCACAAUGGGGGAAACCCUGAUGCAGCGACGCCGCGUGAGUGAAGAAGGGCCUCGGCGCGUAAAGCUCUGUCAGCAGGAACGACGAGGACGGUACCUGAAGAAGAAGCCCCGGCUAACGACGUGCCAGCAGCCGCGGUAAUACGUAGGGGGCAAGCGUUAUCCGGAUUUACUGGGUGUCAAGGGAGCGUAGACGGCGGGGGACGUCUGGAGUGAAAGGCCGGGGCCCACCCCCGGGACCGCUCUGGAAACUGCCCGGCGGGAGUGCGGGAGAGUUAAGCGGACUUCCUAGUGUAGCGGUGAACUGCGUAGAUAUUAGGCGGACCACCAGCUGCGCAGGCGGCUUACUGGACCGUGCCUGACGUUGCGGCUCGAAAGCGUGGGGAGCAAACAGGCUUAGAUACCCCUGUAGUC
rnacentral:rRNA from 1 species